AUUGAACGCUGGCAGCAUGCUUUACACAUGCAAGUCGAACGGUAACAGGCCGCAAGGUGCUGACGAGUGGCGAACGGGUGAGUAAUGCAUCGGAACGUGCCCAGCCGUGGGGGAUAACUACUCGAAAGAGUAGCUAAUACCGCAUACGAUCUAUGGAUGAAAGCGGGGGACCGUAAGGCCUCGCGCGAUUGGAGCGGCCGAUGUCAGAUUAGGUAGUUGGUGGGGUAAAGGCUCACCAAGCCAACGAUCUGUAGCUGGUCUGAGAGGACGACCAGCCACACUGGGACUGAGACACGGCCCAGACUCCUACGGGAGGCAGCAGUGGGGAAUUUUGGACAAUGGGCGCAAGCCUGAUCCAGCAAUGCCGCGUGCAGGAAGAAGGCCUUCGGGUUGUAAACUGCUUUUGUACGGAACGAAACGGCUCUGGUUAAUACCCGGGGCUAAUGACGGUACCGUAAGAAUAAGCGCCGGCUAACUACGUG
rnacentral:rRNA from 1 species